rnacentral:rRNA from 1 species
UACGUAGGGGCCUAGCGUUGUUCGGAAUUAUUGGGCGUAAAGGGUGCGUAGGCGGUUUGGUAAGUCUUGUGUGAAAUCUACAGGCUCAACUUGUAGUCUGCACGAGAAACUGCCGGGCUUGAGUAUGGGAGAGGUGAGUGGGAUUCCUGGUGUAGCGGUGAAAUGCGUAGAUAUCAGGAGGAACACCUGUGGCGAAAGCGGCUCACUGGACCAUAACUGACGCUGAGACGCGAAAGCGUGGGGAGCAAACAGG